rnacentral:snRNA from 1 species
AUCGCUUCUCGGCCUUUUGNCUAAGAUCAAGUGUAGGAAGUAUGUAAUUUAUGUUCUUAUUUUUUUAAGAUUGAAAAGUAUAUGAGUAUUUUGCCUGAAUGUGUGUCUGUACACCACAUGCAUUCAGUGCACAU